CCUACGGGUGGCUGCAGUGAGGAAUAUUGGUCAAUGGGCGCGAGCCUGAACCAGCCAAGUCGCGUGAGGGAAGACUGUCCUAUGGAUUGUAAACCUCUUUUGUCGGGGAGUAAAGUACGCCACGCGUGCCGUUUCGUAUGUACCCUAAGAAUAAGGAUCGGCUAACUCCGUGCCAGCAGCCGCGGUAAUACGGAGGAUUCGAGCGUUAUCCGGAUUUAUUGGGGUUAAAGGGUGCGGAGGCGGAAGGUCAAGUCAGGUGGUAAAGUUGGAGGCUCAACCGUAAGAGAGCAGUUGAUACUGGUUGUCUUGAGUGAGUGAGAGGUAGGCGGAAUGCGUGGUGUAGCGGUGAAAUGCAUAGAUAUCACGAAGAACUCCGAUUGCGAAGGCAGCAUACCGGAGUGCAACUGACGCUGAUGCACGAAAGUGUGGGUAUCGAACAGGAUUAGAUACCCUAGUAGUC
rnacentral:rRNA from 1 species